rnacentral:lncRNA from 10 species
UCUGGAACUGGAAAUAACCCUCUUCAUAUUUUGCCUGCACUCUCCCUGGAUGCUGGAGGCUGGAGGCAGUGACGCAGCAACAGCGCGAGGCGACUUUGGAGCGGCCUCAUAUAGCGACCUCGCCUUCCGCUGCGCGUCCUCCCAGAGCCCAAGAAGCCCGGAACCUGUGGCAUCCAUCUCUGAAAGGAGAAGACGGCAACCCAGCCGAGGCACUACUGGGUUGGGGUCUCCACGACCGAGCUGGUCUCAUCAAGUGGCGUCCAACAAGGGGCUCAAACCCGGGUUGAGGGGUUGCUGGAGCGACGGAGAACGUGGAACUACACUGGAGGACACCAGAGUACUCUUAAGCAAUCCCUUGGCCAAAACCAGCAACUGAUUUGGAUACCAUCAAGACACCUGAAAUCUUGUCAUGAGCCAGAUACUGAGGAAGAGAUUUUGGGAAGAACCCAAGGACCCCCCAGUUGCAGCCAUGUCAAGACUGACAAUAAGGAAGACAUCAGUCCCAGCAAGCAACAUUCAUCGGGCACAGCCACCCAUGUGGGGCCAGAUCAAGAAGUUGACACAGAUGGCGGAAGAAAAUCUGAAGAAAGCGGAUGACCAGCUACAAUGAGUAAUCUAAUGGUAGCUAUGAUGGCUGUGCUCAC